rnacentral:rRNA from 1 species
AUGCUGAUGAUUCCUAGUGUGCUCAUGCGAAAAUGUUUGCUCAAGUUCAUUAUUAAAUCAUAUGCGUUGGACAGAAAAAGGUUCAUCAUGCCAUCAAAAAAUGGUGCGAUAUCAUUGCGCACCGAAGAUGUGUUUGACAUUUUCGGGCUACAGAACAAGGGCAAAGAUGCCAUGAAAGCGCUAGGAAAAGGGGGUGUUAAAGGCGAAGGUGAAGGUGCCUAG